rnacentral:rRNA from 1 species
CCUUCGGGAGGCAGCAGUGAGGAAUAUUGGUCAAUGGACGCAAGUCUGAACCAGCCAUGCCGCGUGCAGGAAGACGGCCCUAUGAGUUGUAAACUGCUUUUGUACGAGGGUAAACGCAGAUACGAGUAUCUGUCUGAAUGUAUCGUAAGAAUAAGGAUCGGCUAACUCCGUGCCAGCAGCCGCGGUAAUACGGAGGAUUCAAGCGUUAUCCGGAUUUAUUGGGGUUAAAGGGUGCGUAGGCUGUCGGUUAAGUUAGAGGUGAAAUGCCGGGGCUUAACUUCGGAAUUGCCUUUGAUACUGGUCGGCUAGAGUGUAGUAGCGGGAGGCGGAAUGUAAGGUGUAGCGGUGAAAUGCGUAGAGAUC